AUUGAACGCUGGCGGCAGGCCUAACACAUGCAAGUCGAACGGUAACCGGAAACAGCUUGCUGUUUCGCUGACGAGUGGCGGACGGGUGAGUAAUGUCUGGGAAACUGCCUGAUGGAGGGGGAUAACUACUGGAAACGGUAGCUAAUACCGCAUAACGUCGCAAGACCAAAGAGGGGGACCUUCGGGCCUCUUGCCAUCGGAUGUGCCCAGAUGGGAUUAGCUAGUAGGUGGGGUAACGGCUCACCUAGGCGACGAUCCCUAGCUGGUCUGAGAGGAUGACCAGCCACACUGGAACUGAGACACGGUCCAGACUCCUACGGGAGGCAGCAGUGGGGAAUAUUGCACAAUGGGCGCAAGCCUGAUGCAGCCAUGCCGCGUGUAUGAAGAAGGCCUUCGGGUUGUAAAGUACUUUCAGCGGGGAUGAAGGGAGUAAAGUUAAUACCUUUGCUCAUUGACGUUACCCGCAGAAGAAGCACCGGCUAACUCCGUG
rnacentral:rRNA from 1 species